rnacentral:lncRNA from 1 species
UGGGGGGUGGGGCUGGCCGACUUCGUCCGCUGGACUCAGAAUGCCGCGAGACUUUGCGAGGGGCCUCCGUGUCCCAAAAAUAGGCCGCGGGAGAAGCCGUACCCAAAAAUAAGCGCCUGAAGGCCGGGUCGCCAUGUUCGUCCAGCGGAAAAAGGCCACAAAAACGGGUGGGCUAUAGACUUGGGGGGUGGGGCUGGCCGACUUCGUCCGCCGGACUCAGAAUGCCGCGAGACUUUGCGACGGGCCUCCGUGUGCCAAAAAUAGGCCGCGGGCAAAGGCGCGCCCAAAAAUAACCGCCCGAAGGCCGGGGCGCCAAGUUCGUCCGGCGGAAAACGGCCACAAAAACGGGUGGGCUAUAGCCUUGGGGGGUGGGGCUGGCCGACUUCGUCCGCCGGACUCAGAAUGCCGCGAAACUUUGCAAGGGGCCUCCGUGUGACAAAAAUAGGCCGCGGACAAAGCCGCGCCUAAAAAUAACCACCCGAAGGCCGGGGCGCCAAGUUCGUCCAGCGGAAAAAGGCCACAAAAACGGGUGGGCUAUAGCCUUGGGGGGUGGGGCUGG